rnacentral:rRNA from 1 species
GACGAACGCUGGCGGCGUGCUUAACACAUGCAAGUCGAACGGUAAGGCCCUUCGGGGUACACGAGUGGCGAACGGGUGAGUAACACGUGGGUGAUCUGCCCUGCACUUCGGGAUAAGCCUGGGAAACUGGGUCUAAUACCGGAUAGGACCACUGCCUGCAUGGGUGGUGGUGGAAAGCUUUUGCGGUGUGGGAUGGGCCCGCGGCCUAUCAGCUUGUUGGUGGGGUGAUGGCCUACCAAGGCGACGACGGGUAGCAGGCCUGAGAGGGUGACCGGCUACACUGGGACUGAGGUACAGCCCAGGCGCCUACGGGAGGCAGCAGUGGGGAAUAGUGCACAAUGGGCGCAAGCCGGAUGCAGCGACGCCGCGUGAGGGAUGACGGCCUUCGGGUUGUAAACCUCUUUCAGCACCGACGAAGCGCAAGUGACGGUAGGUGCAGAAGAAGGACCGGCCAACUACGUGCCAGCCGCCGCAGUAA